rnacentral:rRNA from 1 species
CUGAUGUUAGCGGCGGACGGGUGAGUAACACGUGGGUAACCUGCCUGUAAGACUGGGAUAACUCCGGGAAACCGGGGCUAAUACCGGAUGGUUGUUUGAACCGCAUGGUUCAGACAUAAAAGGUGGCUUCGGCUACCACUUACAGAUGGACCCGCGGCGCAUUAGCUAGUUGGUGAGGUAACGGCUCACCAAGGCGACGAUGCGUAGCCGACCUGAGAGGGUGAUCGGCCACACUGGGACUGAGACACGGCCCAGACUCCUACGGGAGGCAGCAGUAGGGAAUCUUCCGCAAUGGACGAAAGUCUGACGGAGCAACGCCGCGUGAGUGAUGAAGGUUUUCGGAUCGUAAAGCUCUGUUGUUAGGGAAGAACAAGUGCCGUUCAAAUAGGGCGGCACCUUGACGGUACCUAACCAGAAAGCCACGGCUAACUACGUGCCAGCAGCCGCGGUAAUACGUAGGUGGCAAGCGUUGUCCGGAAUUAUUGGGCGUAAAGGGCUCGCAGGCGGUUUCUUAAGUCUGAUGUGAAAGCCCCCGGCUCAACCGGGGAGGGUCAUUGGAAACUGGGGAACUUGAGUGCAGAAGAGGAGAGUGGAAUUCCACGUGUAGCGGUGAAAUGCGU